rnacentral:misc_RNA from 1 species
AACGCACAUUGCGCCCUAUGGUAUUCCAUAGGGCAUGCCUGUCUGAGCGUCAGCUACCCCCACUCUCAAGCAUUUUGCUUGGAUAACUUUGGAGAAGCUAUACUUGAGGUGUAGCUCUCCAUAAAAGCAUAGGCAGUACGGAGGUUUUCUCUUGCUGAACGUAAUAUUAUAAAUGUCACGUUUGCUUGGGAGCUUGUGUGCUUGCCUACAACCCACAAAUUCUAAAUGGGUGACCUCAGAUCAGGUAGGGAUACCCGCUGAACUUAA